rnacentral:rRNA from 1 species
UACGGGGGGAGCAAGCGUUGUUCGGAUUUACUGGGCGUAAAGGGCGCGUAGGCGGCGCAACAAGUCACUUGUGAAAUCUCCGGGCUUAACCCGGAGCGGCCAAGUGAUACUGUCGUGCUAGAGUGCGGAAGGGGCUACUGGAAUUCUCGGUGUAGCGGUGAAAUGCGUAGAUAUCGAGAGGAGCACCUGCGGCGAAGGCGGGUAGCUGGGCCGACACUGACGCUGAUGCGCGAAAGCCAGGGGAGCGAACGGG